AUGCACAAAUUUUGUAGGGCACGGCUGGGAGAUGAACAUGGGUCUGCUUCUGUGUAUCGUGUCAGCGCACUGGAGAAGGCAAUUGCAGGGUUCGAGCAGAGGGAAACUGAGGCCGUGGUCAAUCCAACCGUGGGGACUGUCUUUGUUUCUCUUGACGAGGCCUAUGAGUUCUACAACAUUUAUUCCUGGGAAUCUGGAUUCGGAGUCACCUAUGGACCGAGUAGUGUGGAUUCUCAUGGAACCAAAUGCAUACAGCAAUUUGUUUGCGCGUGUGAGGGGAAACCAAGCAAGGACAGCAACUCAUUUCGUCGGUGUGAAUGCACGGCAGCGAUUCUUUUGUUGAGAUCCAGAGACGGCGGAUGGUGUGUGUGCGAACAUCAAGUGGGGCAUAACCAUCCACUUUGUAAGACGUGUGCGCAGAGGUCAUCCUGGGAGUCUCACAGCAGUAUCGACAAGAACACAAGGGACUUGAUUCGCCAACUAAGGGAAAACAAUGUGCCACACAUUGCUGAUAAUGAAGCAAAGGAUCUGCUGUCUGAGGAUCUCAGAAAGACCGUGGAAACCUUCGCUAGGAUCAAAGCAAAGGAUCCAACAUUUGAAUAUUCUGGCUUGCAGGUUGAUAGUAACUGUAGAGUAAGGCCACUACUCUGGACCAGUGGCCAGAGCGUUCAGUACCAAUACUUUGGUGAUGUGAUUAUCUUCGACACAACCUACAGAUCGGACGUGUAUGGAAUGCCGUUCGGCCUUUUUGUUGGAGUCAACAACAACUUCGAGACCAUAGUGCUUGGUGGGGUGCUGAUGAUAAACGAGAAAACGGAGAGCUUCAAAUGGGUGUUGAGUCAGUUCUUCCAAUUAAUGGGUGGGAAACACCCCCAAACUAUACUGACCGACCGCUGCGAGGCAAUUGAGGAAGCUGUGUUGGAGGUACUGCCAUCCACCACACACAGAUGGUUCAAGUGGCAUGUCCUUGGAAGGGCAAAGGAGUACCUCGGUUUUCAUUACACCAAAACUAGUAGCUUCCGGGUGGAGCUCCACAGAAUUCUGACCGACACGCUGACGACUGAUGAGUUUGAGAGAGCAUGGGAGAUGCUGCUAGAGAAGCAUGGAUUGGAGAACCACCCAUUUCUGCAGGAGAUCUAUGAGGUUCGGCAUAAGUGGGUUAAGGCAUACUUCAGUGACACAUUCUGUGCUACACUGACUAGCACACAAAAGAGCGAGAGCGCGAAACACUUACUGAAACAACACGUUCCACGGGAUUGCUCAAUGGAGCUUUUCGUUCAACAGUACGUGGAACCGCGGUGCGAUCAAGAACCGGACUAUGGGUUUGAGGAUAAGCCGACUACUAUGGAUGAGAUUGUUCUGAGAACAAAUCUGCCAAUCGAGAAGCACGCCAGCGAGGUGUACACAAGACCAGUGUACGAACUGUUUGUGCAAGCCAUACGCGAAUCUGAAUCUUACAUGGUGGAGGCAGUCAUCCCCAACUUGAAGUACAUAGCACGGCAUCCCAGCAGUGAAACCAGGGAGAAAUGGUCUAGGGUGGAAUAUGAGGUCAAUGUUAGAGAAGACGGUGAGGCAUUCAUGUGCGUGUGCAAGCAAUUUGAGCACACGGGGAUGCUCUGCUGCCAUGCCGUCAAGGUGAUGAUCCACUUGGGGGUGCGUGAGAUACCAAGGCUACACGUCAUGCCACGCUGGACAACAAAGCCGCUGCAGUGCCAGAUGCACUGCCGCGGUGAACCGCAGGAUGACACGUGCCAGCAAUGCAGGCACUCGGUGCUGCAUGAUAAGCUCUUUGGCCUAGCGCGCCGCGCCUGUAAGGAUGAACGGUAUUAUGAGGUCCUCAUGAGCGGCCUCGACAGAAUGGAGCGAGGCAUGGCCGCGGCAGAGGCAGCACCCCCACCCCGCCGCGCCAAGCCGGCAUCACGGAAGUCAAGGAGGAGGAAGCGUUGA
rnacentral:rRNA from 1 species